rnacentral:tRNA from 1 species
GGAGAGGUGGCAGAGUGGUUUAAUGCACCUGAUUCGAAAUCAGACGUACCUUCGCGGGUACCGGGGGUUCGACUCCCUCCUUCUCCG